rnacentral:rRNA from 1 species
UUGCACACACCGCCCGUCGUUCCACCCGAGCGACUCCUGGGUGAGGCGUGGUCCUAAGUGGCUGCGUCGAAUCCAGGUUUCGUGAGGGGGGAAAAGUCGUAACAAGGUGGCCGUAGGGGAACCUGCGGCCGGAUCACCUCCU